rnacentral:rRNA from 1 species
AAGCCACUGCUUAUCGGGCUCCGACUAAGCCAUGCGAGUUUAGGGGCUCCUUCGGGAGCACCGGCGGACGGCUCAGUAACACGUGGACAACCUACCCUCGGGUGGGGGAUAACCUCGGGAAACUGAGGCUAAUACCCCAUAGGCCUCGGAUACUGGAAGGCUCUGAGGCUGAAAGCCCCGGCGCCCGAGAAUGGGUCUGCGGCCUAUCAGGUAGUUGGUGGUGUAAAGGACCACCAAGCCUACGACGGGUACGGGCCCUGAGAGGGGGAGCCCGGAGAUGGACUCUGAGACACGAGUCCAGGCCCUACGGGGCGCAGCAGGCGCGAAACCUUCGCAAUGCGCGAAAGCGCGACGAGGGAAGCCCGAGUGCCCUUCCUUUUGGGAGGGCUUUUCCGGAGUCUAAAAAGCUCCGGGAAUAAGGGCUGGGCAAGACGGGUGCCAGCCGCCGCGGUAAUACCCGCAGCUCGAGUGGUGGCCACUAUUAUUGAGCCUAAAGCGUCCGUAGCCGGACCCGCAAAUCCCUGGGUAAAUCCUGGUGCUCAACAUCAGGAAUUCCGGGGAGACUGCGGGUCUUGGGACCGGGAGAGGCCGGAGGUACUCCCGGGGUAGGGGUAAAAUCCUGUAAUCCCGGGGGGACCACCUGUGGCGAAAGCGUCCGGCUUGAACGGCUCCGACGGUGAGGGACGAAGGCCAGGGGAGCAAACCGGAUUAGAUACCCGGGUAGUCCUGGCUGUAAACGCUGCCCGCUUGGUGUUGUCGGUCUCUCGGGGGCCGGCAGUGCCGGAGCGGAGGUGUUAAGCGGGCCGCUUGGGGAGUACGGCCGCAAGGCUGAAACUUAAAGGAAUUGGCGGGAGAGCACUGCAACGGGAGGAGCU